UUUGUACUCCCUCCGUCCCAAAAUUCUUGUCUUAAAUUUGUCUAAAUACGGAUGUAUCUAGUUACAUUUUAGUGUUAGAUACAUCCGUAUCUAAACUAAUGUAAGACAAGAAUUUCGGGACGGAGGGAAUACUAC
rnacentral:pre_miRNA from 1 species